UACGUGGGGGGCAAGCGUUGUCCGGAUUUAUUGGGCGUAAAGAGCGUGUAGGCGGCCAGGUAGGUCUGCUGUGAAAACUCGAGGCUUAACCUCGAGCUGUCGGCGGAAACCAUCUGGCUAGAGUCCGGAAGAGGAGAAUGGAAUUCCCGGUGUAGCGGUGAAAUGCGCAGAUAUCGGGAAGAACACCCGUGGCGAAGGCGGUUCUCUGGGACGGUACUGACGCUGAGACGCGAAAGCGUGGGGAGCGAACAGG
rnacentral:rRNA from 1 species